rnacentral:lncRNA from 1 species
UUGGACGCCCCCCCUCUCCCAUCUUCUUCCUCCUCAAACCUUUGCAGCCCUCACCACCCAAAACCCUAGCCGCCCCCCCCAUUUCUCCCCCUCCUCCAAGGUGCAGCCCUCCCGUGUGGUUCUCCGUCGUGUGGCUGCGAUCUCAAUUGGAGUUUGGAGGGAGGAAGAAGGAAGGAGAAAGGGAAGAACCUAAGGUGAAUUUGUGAUUAACUUUUGUUGUUUUUGUGCUGCAAUCAAUUGGAUUAUGUGUUUAUCUUUGCGAAUCGGUAGAGGUGCUGUCCAGGAAUUUUGUGAGUGGGUGAACAGCAGUAGUUCUAGGGAUUUCUGGGAAUUUUCGUGGGGUAAUUAGUGGGAAUCAGUGGGAUAAUCAUGUAGAGCUUUGUCAUACCUUUCCAACGAGUACUUAUGCGCUCGAUUCGGAGUUAUAAUUUAGGAGAUAUCGUUGUUUGAAUCCGGGUAUGUUGCUGUCCAAAAAAACAGAUUUUUCAGGUGGAUGAACAGCAGUAGUAUUAGCAGUUUCUGGGAAUUUUUCGUGGGUAAUUAGUAUUAACCAGUAUUAUAAUCAUGUAGGGCUUUGUCUUAUCUUUCCAAUGAGUACUUAUGUGCUUGAUUUGGAACUAUAUUUUAAAAGAUAUCGCUGUUUGAAUCCGGGUAUGUUGCUGUAAAAAAAAACAGAUUUUUCAGGUGGGUGAACAGCAGUAGUAUUAGCAGUUUCUGGGAAUUUUUCGUGGUUAAUUAGUGCUAACUAGUAUGAUAAUCAUGUAUGGCUUUGUCUUAUCUUUCCAAUGAGUACUUAUGCGCUUGAAUUGGAAUUAUAUUUUAAAAGAUAUCGCGGUUUGAAUCCGGGUAUGUCGCUGUCCAAAAGAGAAAAAAACAGAUUACAGGGUUCAUCUUGUGAACUGUUUUGGGCUAAUUAGAUGUUGGAAUUUAAUUAUAAAUUGUAUACAAAACUUGUGGGGAAUUUUAUGUAGAUGCCUCUGGAGUAUUUGUUUGUUACCAAUGCUGUCAUAAUUUUGAAGUUAUGAAAUUAUUAAGCAGCGCCGCUGCAGUUUGGUGGGUGUGGGGAGAGAUGUAACCCGCGGCGGGGUUUGAGUUUGUGCGUAGGUGCGGCGUCGUUUAUGAGCCUGGUUAUGUGAAAUUGGUGCACUAAGUUGUGUGUCAAAAACAGGUGGUGGACUUUCGGAUCGUACUUAGGGAUUUGCCCAAACUUCCGGUAAAGGCAAGUAAAUACAGUGGUGGUUGCUACCGUUUGGUUUGCAUCCUAUUCCCUGUCAUUGAGUAUGCAUAAGUUUUAAAUAUGUUAAUCAUUGAAUUCUAUGAUGAAGUUUAUUUGUUUGGAAGUAUUAAUUCUCAAUUGUCUAAUAUUGUGGACGAUCAUAAUUGGAUAAUGAUAUAUGUGGUGGAUUCCCAUCUUGGAUGAAGUUGAAGUAUUUUUUUUGAAUCACAUUAUGUGAAGUGUUGUAGGCAUGACAUGCACAUCGCAUCAUCCAUCUUGCAUUUUGAAGUUAUGUCGUGAUCUUAUGGUUCGACCGUACCGGUACAUUUUUAGCAUCGUACGUUGCCCGAGGAGGGGUACGAUGCGGCUUCAUAUCCUUAGAGGUAUGAAGGCAGAAGUCAUCCUUGCAUUUGCAGACAUUUGCAUUCAUGAGGAAUAUAUGAAGUGUGACAUUACUAUGUUACUAUUGUGGUUUCUACCUGCGAGGUGUGGUAACUGGGUGUGUUGUACGUUGUAUACGUGCUGCACCUUCGUAAUAAGAAGGUUGUGGAAUCAAGUGGUGGUAAAACAAUGUUCUUAUGUGGUUAAACUGUUUGAUAUUAUUUUACUUGUUGAGAUGUGUCAUCUCACUCUUGCAUUACUCAAUGCAGGUACUGGAUACAUGUUGGGAAUGAGGGGAGUAGCAGCACGUCCACUUUCACUCUCACAAUAACGCUGCCCAGGCGCAGCCAGGAGUUAAUUAGAAACUUAUUGUCAAAGGAAGUUUGUUUUUUUAUAUAGUCAUGCGCACUGGUUAAGUCAGUUCAGGUCGUAUGUUAAUCUUUCCUUGCUAGCCGAUUAAUAAUACUUAGUAUGUUUUUGGCAUGAUAUAUGUUUAUACACUGUUGCCCCCUCAUUUAUGCAAACUUGCAAAGGGGAUGCUGCCGAAAUUUUAUAUAUGGACGUCAGAAGUGUAGUUCAGUAGCAUUCCAGGUUGUUUGUGGAACCCGGGGUGUUACACUUGGG